rnacentral:rRNA from 1 species
UACGGAGGGUGCAAGCGUUGUUCGGAAUCAUUGGGCGUAAAGCGCGUGUAGGCGGCUUGGCAAGUCAGUUGUGAAAGCCCGGGGCCCAACCCCGGAAUUGCAUCUGAAACUGCCUGGCUAGAGUCCCGGAGAGGAAGGCAGAAUUCCCGGUGUAGGGGUGAAAUCCGUAGAUAUCGGGAGGAACACCAGUGGCGAAGGCGGCGACCUGGGCCGAAUAUUGACGCUGAGGUGCGAAAGCGUGGGGAGCAAACAGG